UGCGGUUAUUUUCAACACGUGAUUUUCGAGUCACUAAUCGGCGGUCUGCUUAAUUGGCCUUAGUGGUUUGUAACCGUGGAGCAUCUUAGCGAAAGUAACAGUACGUAUGCUUAUUUUUCCAAAUAAACAUUUAAAAGUGGAGCUCAAGAGCGAAUUGAGAAGAAAGAGAAAGAAUUUGACAAGGCAAAGCUUCUGUAAUUAGAUAAAUUUCUUCCUGUAUCUCGUCUACAUUCAUCGGAUUUAAGUGCCAUUAUUUGUGGGAAGGAAAUGACGUCGAAUGACCAACAAAUGAGGCAAAAUUACAUGCAGUGGAAUGGCACGCCGCAGACGUAAUGGCACGGAACCGAUAUACGCUUUGGCGAGAUGCUUAACAUGGGUCGUCUUUCACGCGGACAGUUGGAAAGACCGUUUCACUCUAGCACGAGUUUAUCGGCGUAUCAUUUAUGGAGGACGAUUCUGCCAAACCCUGGAGUCUUCCAUUUUAAAACACGUAAAGGAAGACGCUCAUGCGUUCCUAAAUGCCGACUUUGAUGCAAAGCCCUGCCAGGCGUGUAGUGUACGACCGAUUUUUAUUUCUUUGCUGCGGAGAGUAUUUCGUCCUUCUCUUUUUUUUUUCUUUCUUUUUUUUUCUUUUUUUUUUAAAAUAUAAACUCAUUUCACUCAAUGUGUUUGAAAGAAUGCUGAGGUUCAUUCUGGCUGAAUGAUUUGCACUUGCAUUUAUGGCUCAUGAAAGGUUGGCUAUGUGAGCUGGUUGGAGGGACUAAAUAGAGCUUGUAAGUAGGGAUGCACCAAUACUGAUAUUGGGUGUGUGUAUCCUGUUACAUAGGCUUUGUGUGUGU
ensembl:lncRNA